GCACCACAACCUACUUUUAACAUGCCAUUUCUGGCUGAGAAUGGGUGUGAAAAUGAUAGGAAAUAAUGAAAAAAACUAGGAAAAAGACAAAAAAAGGAGAGAAAAAUAGAAGGGAAGGGAGAAGAGAAAAAAGAAAGUAUGAGAUACUUAUCCGAAAAUCAGAUUGUUCAUGUGUUGAAUAUAAAAUCUGAUUAGAGUGUGGUUUGCUACUCUGAAAAAAAAUUCUUAGAGUGGUCCUAGUGGAGGUCAUGAAGGCAUACAAGCAAUGGUGUAUUAAGUUCUUGCGAAGGACCAUCGACAGCACA
rnacentral:lncRNA from 1 species